GAGGAGACUCCGGAAGCCUCCGCUCUCCAGAAAGUGCAGUGCGUGGAUGGUAGCGCCACCUGCGGACAGCGCUCUGACUGACGCGCGAACGGACCAAUGAGAGACGAGAUGCUGGGGCGUCAAACCAAUCAGCGCAGUAUAUGCAGCGAGGGCGGGGUUUGCAACGGAGCGCUCUUAUUGCAUCAGUUCCUGUAGA